rnacentral:telomerase_RNA from 1 species
CUCUCAAGCAUCACGUAGUGGAGAAAUGAAACUUUACCUAACCUAACCUAUUAUUCGCGGGUCUUAGUGUUAAACGGGCUUUCGCGACCGGCUACUCAUGACCGGUAAAUCUGAGUAUAGAAUUAACGUGAUGAUUUAUUUUG